rnacentral:rRNA from 1 species
UACGUAGGGGGCUAGCGUUGUUCGGAAUCACUGGGCUUAAAGGGCGCGUAGGCGGGCUGACAAGUCUGGGGUGAAAUGCCGCGGCUCAACCGUGGAACUGCCUCAGAUACUGUCGGCCUCGAGGAAGGUAGGGGCAUGCGGAACUGUAGGUGGAGCGGUGAAAUGCGUUGAUAUCUACAGGAACUCCGGUGGCGAAAGCGGCGUGCUGGACCUUUUCUGACGCUGAGGCGCGAAAGCUAGGGGAGCAAACGGGG